rnacentral:rRNA from 1 species
GAUGAACGCUAGCGGCAGGCCUAAUACAUGCAAGUCGAACGGUGUCUUCGGACAUAGUGGCGCACGGGUGCGUAACACGUAUGCAACCUACCUUACAUUGGGGGAUAGCCUUUCGAAAGGGAGAUUAAUACCGCAUAAGACAGUAGCUGGGCAUCCAGCAGCUGUUAAAGAUUUAUCGAUGUAAGAUGGGCAUGCGUCCAAUUAGUUAGUUGGCGAGGUAAUGGCUCACCAAGACUUUGAUUGGUAGGGGAACUGAGAGGUCAAUCCCCCACACUGGCACUGAGAUACGGGCCAGACUCCUACGGGAGGCAGCAGUAGGGAAUAUUGGGCAAUGGACGCAAGUCUGACCCAGCCAUGCCGCGUGCAGGAUGAAGGCGUUAUGCGUUGUAAACUGCUUUUAUACAGGAAGAAACGACUCUUGCGAGAGGCAUUGACGGUACUGUAUGAAUAAGCACCGGCUAACUCCGUGCCAGCAGCCGCGGUAAUACGGAGGGUGCAAGCGUUGUCCGGAUUUAUUGGGUUUAAAGGGUGCGCAGGUGGUUUAUUAAGUCAGUGGUGAAAGACGGUCGCUCAACGAUUGCAGUGCCAUUGAAACUGGUAGACUUGAGUAAAGUAGAGGUGGGCGGAGUUGAUAGUGUAGCGGUGAAAUGCAUAGAUAUUAUCAAGAACUCCAAUUGCGUAGGCAGCUCACUUGGCUUUU